AGCGAACGCUGGCGGCAGGCCUAACACAUGCAAGUCGAGCGGCCGUAGCAAUACGGCAGCGGCAGACGGGAGAGUAACACGUGGGAACGCGCCCUUCGGUUCGGGAUAACUCAGGGAAGCUUGGGCUAAUACCGGAUACGCCCUUACGGGGAAAGAUUUAUUGCCGAAGGAACGGCCGCGUCCGAUUAGCUUGUUGGUGAGGUAACGGCUCACCAAGGCGACGAUCGGUAGCUGGUCUGAGAGGAUGACCAGCCUCACUGGGACUGAGACACGGCCCAGACUCCUACGGGAGGCAGCAGUGGGGAAUAUUGGACAAUGGGCGCAAGCCUGAUCCAGCCAUGCCGCGUGGGUGAUGAAGGCCCUAGGGUUGUAAAGCCCUUUCAGCGGGGACGAUAAUGACGGUACCCGCAGAAGAAGCCCCGGCUAACUUCGUGCCAGCCGCCGCAGUAACAC
rnacentral:rRNA from 1 species